rnacentral:rRNA from 1 species
UACGUAGGGUGCAAGCGUUAAUCGGAAUUACUGGGCGUAAAGCGUGCGCAGGCGGCUUUGCAAGACAGAUGUGAAAUCCCCGGGCUUAACCUGGGAACUGCAUUUGUGACUGCAUGGCUGGAGUGCGGCAGAGGGGGAUGGAAUUCCGCGUGUAGCAGUGAAAUGCGUAGAUAUGCGGAGGAACACCGAUGGCGAAGGCAAUCCCCUGGGCCUGCACUGACGCUGAGGCGCGAAAGCGUGGGGAGCGAACAGG